CAUAGAUAUUGUAAUUAUUUAGUCAUAUCACAUGAAUACACAUUAGACAUGACACAAUGUAUAAAAUUGCAGGAAAUGUAGCUUUAAAACUGCAACAUUUUCUUUUUCACCCAUGACAAAUGGUGUAGAAUUGCAGGAAUUAAGCUUGAAAUUAUUUCCACCAACAAGCAGUUUGUGUCAUGAAUAGUGCUGUGCCCAUAGAAAUAGACGUGGCGCGUGCGCGCGCGGGGAGAAUUCUGGAAGAGGGGCCCCGGAGUGAAAAAGCUUGGGAACCCCAGAGCUAGGCUAUAGGAGCUGUUCUGACUCGAACCAGCCGUGACAAAAGCUUUGAAACGUCAAGGAGGCGAGGAGGCACAGUUGGAGAAGAAAGGGACAACACCAAGGCUCUGGAAAUAAAUGUAUAAACAUUAUCUAUUUUCUAUCGUGCUACAUUUCAGGGGAUGGGAGGACACUAAUAAUCUGGAAUGCUGUUAUAUGAGAGAACGAAACUGAGGCGGGUGAAUCAGGCACGCAAAAAGAGGACUGUCUAUGUGCCUUGAGCUCUGACGGAAAAAGCCAGUUGCCCCGAAACGGGAUUUCUCAAAGUGGGAUGCUGAUAACAUGAUCCUUGCUUGCCGAUUCGAGACAGAAGUUGGCGCUCACACAUUAGUGCCUCAAUGAAUAGGCUACGUAAGAAUGAGAGGAUGGUCGAAGCUACUGUACAUUUGAAGCGUUGAGUAUCUGAAGUCUGAACUUUAUAACUCUGAGCGACUUUAGAACUCUCGUCACAGCAAACUGGGGUAAUAUUGAGAAUGUGGAGGUCCUGCUGGACAGCGUGUAUCUCGUGGACUUUAUUCAUCUGCAUCGUCAGAAGUUAUGCACAAGAAAGACAGGGUUACCUGAUUGCUGCUCCCUCAGUUUUCCGCGCUGGCGUGGAGGAGGCCCUGAGCAUUACCAUCUUCAAUGCUGUGGAGGAGACGCAUNNNNNNNNNNAAAAAAAAAAAACGACUAUAAGGUUACAUCAGAAGUGGUUUCAGACCACCCAAAGAGAACACUAGAGCAGAGC
rnacentral:lncRNA from 13 species